rnacentral:miRNA from 1 species
UGCCAGUGUGUGUGUGUGUGUGUGUGUGUGUGUGUGCAUCAGAUACAUACACAUACACACAGAUACACACACUGGCACA